rnacentral:rRNA from 1 species
AAAUAAAAGAGUUUGAUCCUGGCUCCGAAUGAAUGCUAGUGGCGGCCUAACACAU